rnacentral:tRNA from 1 species
AGGGGAUUAGCUCAGGGGUUAGAGUGUUUAUCUUACACAUAAAAUGUCAGUAGUUCGAAUCUACUAUUCCCUA